rnacentral:misc_RNA from 1 species
GAUGAAGAACGUAGCGAAAUGCGAUACGUAAUGUGAAUUGCAGAAUUCAGUGAAUCAUCGAAUCUUUGAACGCACCUUGCACCCUUUGGCAUUCCGAAGGGUAUGCUCGUUUGAGUGUCAUUGUACUCUCACACUUCCAAUCUUUGGAUUGGGAGCAGUGGACUUGGGUGUUGCUGCUUACUGUGGCUCACCUCAAAUCGAUUCGUGCACCUCUUGGUUGGACAUAGUACGGCGUGAUAAGUGUCUUCGCCGGCACCUCAGUAGAGGGUGGCUGAUCAGGAGCUCUGUGCUUCAAACCGUCCUCGGACAACAACUGACAACUUGACCUCAAAUCGAGUAGGACUACCCGCUGAACUUAAGCAUAUCAAUAAGCGGAGGA